rnacentral:tRNA from 1 species
GGGUGUGUAGCUCAGCUGGUUAGAGCACUUCACUGAUAAUGAAGAGGUCCCAGGUUCGAGUCCUGGCACACCCA